rnacentral:rRNA from 1 species
AGUGAACGCUGGCGGUAGGCGUAACACAUGCAAGUCGAACGGCAGCACAGGAGAGCUUGCUCUCUGGGUGGCGAGUGGCGGACGGGUGAGGAAUACAUCGGAAUCUACUCUGUCGCGGGGGAUAACGUAGGGAAACUUACGCUAAUACCGCAUACGACCUACGGGUGAAAGCAGGGGAUCUUCGGACCUUGCGCGAUUGAAUGAGCCGAUGUCGGAUUAGCUCGUUGGCGGGGUAAAGGCCCACCAAGGCGACGAUCCGUAGCUGGUCUGAGAGGAUGAUCAGCCACACUGGAACUGAGACACGGUCCUGACUCCUACGGGAGGCAGCAGUGGGGAACAUUGGACAAUGGGCGCAAGCCUGAUCCAGCCAUACCGCGUGGGUGAAGAAGGCCUUCGGGUUGUAAAGCCCUUUUGUUGGGAAAGAAAUCCAGCUGGCUAAUACCCGGUUGGGAUGACGGUACCCAAAGAAUAAGCACCGGCUAACUUCGUGCCAGCCGCCGCGGUAA